rnacentral:pre_miRNA from 1 species
AUAGUACUCCCUCCGUCCGAAAAUACUUGCCAUCAAAAUGGAUAAAAAGGGAUGUAUCUAGAACUAAUAUACGUCUAGAUACAUCCCCUUUUAUUCAUUCUGAUGACAAGUAUUUCCGGACGGAGGGAGUAUUUG